GGCUGGUCCUAAGGUAGUGAAUUAUCUCAGUUGACUGUUCACAGUCAGGUACAGAUCAAACUCCUAUUCUACUCUUUAUCCCCUUCUCGUUAUUGCCCUUGGGAAGACUUAA
rnacentral:Y_RNA from 1 species